AAACCGCGGCUGCCGCCCGGAGGGAAGCAGACGGGGAGUCGGUGGCGGCCGCCGAGUCCGCAUGCGCAGGCUGCAAAGGCCCUUUUGGGCCGGUCCCGCCGCGCUAGGUUGGCGAGUGGGACUAUUUGAUCCUUUCCAGGUUCGCCAGCGUGGUGUUACGAGAGGAAAGCGCAGCCGCAGCGUACGAAUGGGAAGGCCAAACACGGUCCCGGGGAGUCUGAGGGAAGCUGCAGGGCGCCUGGAAUUGGGGUCUCGAGUGAGCCGGUAAAAACCGCCUCCCGCUGAGCGUCCCGGAACAAAUACUGUCUGAACUGAGCCGUAAGCAAGAAACGGUCAGGAGAAGCUGGGGCGAUCUGAUGAUUAGAACAUUUCAGGGACUACCAGAGAGAAGUGCGUAAUUGCUCUAAGGCAGGUAGGUAAUUGGCCUGGAAACUUGGGAACGCCCCGCCCCCCACCCCGACUUUCAGCAAACCACCGUGCCCAGGAAAAAGAGCGAUUGUGGAAGACCCUGUGAAGAAGAGACCAGGAAGGCACUGUGGCUUAAGAGAGCAAGGCGUUCCUGAAUGCAGCCAACAUCAACUGGUAAACAAAAAACUGUGAGAACGGAUCCUGAAUCUUGCGCUUACCAGGGGAAAUUCAGGAGAGAUAUGAACCUGAGCAAGAUGAGGUUGAAGUUACUCAAUGCGGCAUUAAGCCUGUUCACGGCCACUUCCUCCGGCGUCACCAACACACACACUGUACACCAGCAGUAUUUUUACACGGGCUUUUCUACCAUGGGAAGAUGCAGUGUUUUUCCCCUACAAGGAUUCAGCAUCAAGGCUUCAUCUUGGAAGCAGAGAUUGGACCUUCACCAGAAAAUGGAACACGGCGGCACCUUGAUCUUGAACUUCCCAGCCUCCAGAACUGAGAGAAAAUAAAUUUUAUAUCAUAGCAGCACAAACAAAGACAGGCUCCUUCAGCAGCUUCACAGAACCUUGGAUGCCUCCUGGCCCAGGAGCCAGUGGGGACACCUGGCCAUUCCUGGGAGGUGGAGAAAGGAUGCAUGGAGGAAGAGAGGCAUCCACCUGGCUCAGAGAACACUAAGCAGCAAAAUAUUGAAAGAGUUGUAGUGCUUCUCUUAACUGCUUCUAUUAAAAUGCAAGAGGAGAGAAAUGACUUAAAGAUAAAAUUUAUAAUUAAAAGAGAAGCAGAAUGUAAAGAUUUGGAAAAUUCACAGCCUGGGCAUAUAAAGAUUUAAAAAAUGUGUUGGGGAGAAAACCGAGAGUGGCCAAAUGACUGUUGAUAUGGAGAUUACUAUGGAUACAAGGAAGCCAGCUUUCUGCCAUGUGAGGACGCUACCAGAAGGCCCUCAUCAGAAACUCAAACCUGCAAGAGCCUUGAUCUUGGACUUCCCAGCCCCCAGAAGUAUGAGAAAAUAAAUUUCCAUUUUUAUAAAUUA
rnacentral:lncRNA from 1 species